GCUUCAUGGUCGAGUGGUAAAGACACUUGCCUUUUAUCCUGGAAUCUCGGGUUCGAUCCCUGGUCGAGGAGCU